rnacentral:rRNA from 1 species
CCUACGGGUGGCAGCAGUGAGGAAUAUUGGUCAAUGGGCUUACGCCUGAACCAGCCAAGUCGCGUGAGGGAUGACUGCCCUAUGGGUUGUAAACCUCUUUUGUCAGGGAGCAAUUGGCGCUACGUGUAGCGUUAUCGAGAGUACCUGAAGAAAAAGCAUCGGCUAACUCCGUGCCAGCAGCCGCGGUAAUACGGAGGAUGCGAGCGUUAUCCGGAUUUAUUGGGUUUAAAGGGUGCGUAGGCGGAAUGCCAAGUCAGCGGUAAAAUCGCGGGGCUCAACCUCGCUCCGCCGUUGAAACUGGCUGUCUUGAGAUGUCGAGAGGUAUGCGGAAUGCGCAGUGUAGCGGUGAAAUGCUUAGAUAUUGCGCAGAACUCCGAUUGCGAAGGCAGCAUACCGGCGGCGAUCUGACGCUGAGGCACGAAAGCGUGGGUAUCGAACAGGAUUAGAUACCCGAGUAGUC